GACGAACGCUGGCGGCGUGCUUAACACAUGCAAGUCGAACGGAAAGGCCCUGCUUUUGUGGGGUGCCCGAGUGGCGAAAGGGUGAGUAACACGUGGGUAAACUGCCCUUGACUCUGGGCUAAAUUCGGGAAAAUGGGGCUAAUACCGGUUCGGAGCCCCUGCUGCAUGGUGGGGGUCGGAAAGUUUCGGCGGUUGGGGAUGGGCGCGCGGCUUAUCAGCUUGUUGGUGGGGUAGAGGCUUACGAAGGCUUUGAGGGGUAGCCGGCCUGCGAGGGUGACCGGCCACAUUGGGACUGAGGUACGACCCAGACUGCUACGGGAGGCAGCAGUGGGAAAUAGUGCGCAAUGGGCGGAAGCCGGAUGCAACAACGCCGCGUGCUAGAUGACGGCCUUCAGGUUGUAAACCGCUUGCGCCUGUGACGAAGCGUGAGUGACGGUAAUUAGUAAAGAAGCACCGGCUAACUACGUG
rnacentral:rRNA from 1 species